rnacentral:misc_RNA from 1 species
CAAGUUGAAGCAGACUGAGGUUGACUGUGAGUUCUUGAAGAGAUGCUGCGAGAAUCUAACGGAAGAAAACAGACGGUUGCAAAAGGAAGUUCAGGAACUGAGAGCACUGAAACUCUCCCCACAGUUCUACAUGCAAAUGACCCCACCUACCACCCUCACCAUGUGCCCUUCAUGUGAGCGUGUUGCGGUCCCACCAUCCGCAUCAUCAACCGUCAAUCCUUCUCAUCCGCGGGCCCACCCACAGAUCGGCCCCACUCACCACCACAGGCCUAUCCCGAUCAACCCAUGGGCCCCAGCUGCAGCUCCGUUUGAUGCCCUGCGUCCUCGGUCGUGAUCAACAACCGUAAACAAGGACAUUUUGGUCAUUGGGACAUGACAAAAAAAAAAUUAUAUAUUUUAAUGAUAAAAGGUUGCUGGAAUGUGUACUGUACGAAGGGAAGGG